GAAUUUAAUAUUUUUAUGUGAAUAUUUAUAAAAAAUUUAUAUAAAAAAUAUUUUAUUGGGAGGAUAAUUAAAUUUAAAUAACUUUAAUAUGAGAAUAACAUGGAUUAUUGAUAAUUUAAUGAAUAAGUAAAAUUUAAUAGAGAAUUAAUUACCUUAGGGAUAACAGCAUAAUAUUUUUUAGUAGUUCAUAUAUAAAAAAAUGUUUAU
rnacentral:rRNA from 1 species